AGGCAGCAGUAGGGAAUAUUGGUCAAUGGAUGGAAGUCUGAACCAGCCAUGCCGCGUGCAGGAAGAAGGCCUUCUGGGUUGUAAACUGCUUUUGCCAGGGGAUAAAAAUUCUUUGCGAAGAAAAUUGAAGGUACCUGGUGAAUAAGCACCGGCUAACUACGUGCCAGCAGCCGCGGUAAUACGUAGGGUGCAAGCGUUGUCCGGAUUUAUUGGGUUUAAAGGGUGCGUAGGCGGCCUUGUAAGUCAGUGGUGAAAUACUCUAGCUUAACUAGAGGGGUGCCAUUGAUACUGCAGGGCUUGAGUUAAGUUGAAGUUGGCGGAAUUGACGGUGUAGCGGUGAAAUGCUUAGAUAUCGUCAAGAACACCGAUAGUGAAGACAGCUAACUAAACUUUUACUGACGCUGAGGCACGAAAGUGUGGGGAUCAAACAGGAUUAGAUACCCUGGUAG
rnacentral:rRNA from 1 species